rnacentral:rRNA from 1 species
CAACAGGGAUUGCCCCAGUAACGGCGAGUGAAGCGGCAACAGCUCAAAUUUGAAAUCUGGCUCUCGGGCCCGAGUUGUAAUUUGUAGAGGAUGCUUUUGGUGAGGUGCCUUCCGAGUUCCCUGGAACGGGACGCCAUAGAGGGUGAGAGCCCCGUCUGGUUGGACACCGAUCCUCUGUAAAGCUCCUUCGACGAGUCGAGUAGUUUGGGAAUGCUGCUCUAAAUGGGAGGUAUAUGUCUUCUAAAGCUAAAUACCGGCCAGAGACCGAUAGCGCACAAGUAGAGUGAUCGAAAGAUGAAAAGAACUUUGAAAAGAGAGUUAAAAAGUACGUGAAAUUGUUGAAAGGGAAGCGCUUGUGACCAGACUUGGGCUUGGUUGAUCAUCCGGGGUUCUCCCCGGUGCACUCUUCCGGCCCAGGCCAGCAUCAGUUCGCCCUGGGGGAUAAAGGCUUCGGGAAUGUGGCUCUCUCCGGGGAGUGUUAU